rfam:Stegodyphus mimosarum contig56290, whole genome shotgun sequence.
GCCUGCGUGGUGUAACGGCAGCACACUCGGUACAUAUUCGAGAGGUCCAAGUUCGAAUCCCGGCGAGGGCA